AGCACGUUAUGGUGGCACUCUAAGGAGACUGCCGGUGACAAACCGGAGGAAAGGUGGGGAUGACGUCAAGUCAUCAUGGCCCUUACGGCCUGGGCUACACACGUGCUACAAUGGUCGGUACAAAGGGUUGCCAAGCCGCGAGGUGGAGCUAAUCCCAUAAAACCGAUCGUAGUCCGGAUCGCAGUCUGCAACUCGACUGCGUGAAGUCGGAAUCGCUAGUAAUCGUGAAUCAGAAUGUCACGGUGAAUACGUUCCCGGGCCUU
rnacentral:rRNA from 1 species